CCUACGGGAGGCAGCAGUAAGGAAUAUUGGUCAAUGGACGAAAGUCUGAACCAGCCAUGCCGCGUGAAGGAUGAAGGCCCUCUGGGUUGUAAACUUCUUUUAUCUGGGACGAAAAAAGCUCAUUCUUGAGCACUUGACGGUACCAGAGGAAUAAGCACCGGCUAACUCCGUGCCAGCAGCCGCGGUAAUACGGAGGGUGCAAGCGUUAUCCGGAUUUACUGGGUUUAAAGGGUGCGUAGGUGGGUCUGUAAGUCAGUGGUGAAAUCUCCGAGCUUAACUCGGAAACUGCCAUUGAUACUAUAGGUCUUGAAUUAUCUGGAGGUAAGCGGAAUAUGUCAUGUAGCGGUGAAAUGCUUAGAUAUGACAUAGAACACCAAUUGCGAAGGCAGCUUACUACGGAUACAUUGACACUGAGGCACGAAAGCGUGGGGAUCAAACAGGAUUAGAUACCCUGGUAGUCCACGCCCUAAACGAUGGAUACUCGACAUCAGCGAUACACUGUUGGUGUCUGAGCGAAAGCAUUAAGUAUCCCACCUGGGAAGUACGAUCGCAAGAUUGAAACUCAAAGGAAUUGACGGCUGAGACGAGCGAGGACGACGACGAGGGAGAGG
rnacentral:rRNA from 1 species